UUAAAAAUUGCAUGCUUUCUGAUAUACGAAUCAACGCAUGCAUUUUCACAUUAUUGCAAACUCAUUUUAAAUACUAUAAAGGCGUUUAUUUUGUUGUUCUGUAAUAGUUGUUGUAUGUGAGUUGGUAGAAACUCAUUGAAGACUAUAAGUUUUGCAGGACGUUGAAAGUGGUCAAGUUGGUAUUCUCGAAGUUUCUUUGGAUGGAAUUACUGUUAAAUUUAAAGAUAAACAGAUCCACCUUCAUCUGAAUCGCAUCAAAACUGCUCCACUCAACGAGGAAUUCUUGUCAUUGAUGAAUUUGAUCCCAUAACCCAAGAAGAAAUUCAGCACAAAUUCAAAUCAACCAUGGCAAGCGAUGUCUGUUAUGCUGUUCUCUGUCUUUUCUCGUAUGCUGCCGCAUCGAGAGGUUUACAAGUUCGUUCAUGACCGGAAAAGUAUUCAUCAACUUACAUCUUCAUACCCAAUUCAACCCAAUCAUACGUAGCUAGUUAACAAAAAUGAACAUAUAUAUAAUGUAGAUAAUGUAAGCUAUCUAGAUUUUAUUGUUCUUAGUAGUUAUUGUUUGUGAAAUGUCCACGUGUUUCGAGCAUGUAUACGUCAAUACAAAUCACGUGAUGGCUUCUCUUGUGUCAAA